rnacentral:lncRNA from 1 species
CUCCCGAUCCUUGACAUCUUGGAGCAGACGACCCCUCUCUGCCAGAAGAGCACUGUGCUCAUGCUCCAGCUCUUCGACCCGGCCCUCCGCUCGGGCCGCCUGGCAUCGGGUCUCAGUAUGAGAAUCCCGUUCCUUCUUCAGGUCCGACUGCCGACCCCGAACUUCAGCCUCCAGCAACUCCACCUCCGUCCCAAGCUGAACUUCUUUCUUUGUGGAUCGGGCGAGGGGAGGGAUGGCUCGGGCAAGUAUAGCGUUGGCUUGCAGUAAACACAUACAUCAGUACAAGAAGGAAAGGUCAAAGUU